AACGAACGCUGGCGGCAUGCCUAACACAUGCAAGUCGAACGCUUAUCUUCGGAUAGGAGUGGCGCACGGGUGAGUAACGCGUGGGAACCUGCCCUGGGGUGCGGGAUAACCGAUGGAAACGUCGGCUAAUACCGCAUACGUCCUGAGGGAGAAAGAUUUAUCGCCCUGGGAGGGGCCCGCGUCGGAUUAGCUAGUUGGUGGGGUAACGGCCUACCAAGGCGAUGAUCCGUAGCUGGUCUGAGAGGAUGAUCAGCCACACUGGGACUGAGACACGGCCCAGACUCCUACGGGAGGCAGCAGUGGGGAAUAUUGGACAAUGGGCGCAAGCCUGAUCCAGCAAUGCCGCAUGAGUGAUGAAGGCCUUAGGGUUGUAAAGCUCUUUCGGCGGGGACGAUGAUGACGGUACCCGCAGAAGAAGCCCCGGCUAACUUCGUGCCAGCCGCCGCAGUAAC
rnacentral:rRNA from 1 species